rnacentral:lncRNA from 1 species
UUCCCUAUCAUCACAAUUAGUAAUAAAUAAUCAAUUAUCCAAAAUUAAAACCGAUUAUCUAAAAUCACCUUAACAAACAGAAGAAAUGAUUAUGAUUAUCCAAAAUGAAAACUAAAGUGGUCUUAGAUGAGACAAUGACCUUGAUCAUAAUUCAGCAAAUGAAAUUACAAAUUCUUUUCAAUUAUUACAUGCUAAUUAACAGUUUGGCAUUUGCUUGCUGCUUAAUUAGGCUCACUGGCCACUGAGUUGGACUCUCUAAUCACCCAAGUCCACCCAACCGAAUCAUUGCCCAUAAAAACCACCAUUCUAAUAAUUAAACAAAUGUAUUAAAUAUUAAUUAAAUUAAUUAACCAACAACCACAAGUGGAAUUUGAUUAAUUAAAUAAUUAAUUAACCACAAUAAUAACAAUAACAAUCAUAUCAUAAUUAACUAAAAUUACAAACAACACAAGGUGGAAGCAAGAACCAUUUUAGACAACAAAAAAACC